CAGCCUUCCAAGUAGCUGGGAUGACAGGUGUAAGAUCUGGGACUACAUUCUAUUUUCUGUAAAUUGUGCAGAGCAAGUGUGUGGUGACCGUUUUUUCCCCCUCGGAUUUUAAUCUACUGGAUAUGCCCAUAGAGUUUGCAGGAAUAACGGCUGGUUCUGGAAGCUGUUGGAGAUGUGAGAUAAAGAAAGAGAAUAAAUAUAAAACAUCAAUACUACUAUUUUGAAACACUGAUUUACUUUUCGGAAAGAGAAGAAAGGGCAAAGGGAUGGGAACUAAUAUAGAUAUACCAAAUUAUGUGCAACACACACCAUCCUUACAGAGUGCUGCAACCAAAAGCCAGAGAGUGUCUUGCCUUUCACAAUGCCAAAUCAAAAAGGUGAAUGCAUAGCCCACUCAGAGAAAUAAAGCUUAUGAAGACAGUCUUCGCUACAGGAGCCUGCUCAUCAUCCAAUAUCGUCCUCUUGGCUGUGCACCUUUUGAUGUAACACUGAAAUGAGAAUCAACCAACCUAAAUAUCUGUAACAAUAUCUGGGAAGAUGUAUAAUUCAGAAUUGCAUGAAGACAACAAAAGAUUAGUUGACACUUAGGACUGGCAAUUUUGUGUGUGCUCCUGUAACCCCAGCCACAUGUAACUCCAUGCCUGGAGAGUGUUCUGGAAUCUGGGCAUAUCUUCUCUACAGUAUUCGACUUGUCUCUUGAAUGCCAUACAUGGCAAUUUUGUAUGCUGAAUUGUGUCCCCUCUCUCCAAAUUCAUAAGUUGACGUCGGAACCCUCAUUACUUCAGAAUAUAACUGCAUUUUGGAGAUAAGGUUUAUAAAGAGGUAAUUAAGUUAAAAUGAGGUCCUAACCCAAUCUGACUAGCAUCCUUCAGAGAAGAGGAAGAAAUGCCAGGGCUGUGAGUGCACAAAGGGUCAACUAUGUGAAGAGGCAUCAAGAGGGCAGCCAUCUGCAAAGUCAGAGAGAUAAACCUUAGGAGAAACCAACUUGCCAGUGCCUUGAUUUUGGACUCGCUUCUUCAGAAAUGUGAGAAAAUAAAUUUUGUUGAUUAAGCCACCUA
rnacentral:lncRNA from 1 species